ensembl:miRNA
UGUGCUCUGCAGUGUGAGGUAGUUGGUUGUAUGGUUUCGCAUAAUAAACAGCACGGAGAUAACUGUACAACCUUCUAGCUUUCCCUGCGGAGUCAC